rnacentral:lncRNA from 1 species
GGAAGGAGACACGGGAAGGGGACAUGGGAAGGGAACAUGGGAAGGGGACACGGGAAGGGGACAAGGGAAGGGAACAUGGGAAGGGAACAUGGGAAGGGAACAUGGGAAGGGGACAAGGGAAGGGAACAUGGGAAGGGAACAUGGGAAGGGGACACGGGAAGGAGACUCGGGAAGGGGACAUGGGAAGGGGACACGGGAAGGGAACACGAGAAGGGGACACAGGAAGGGGACAUGGGAAGGGGACAUGGGAGGGAACAUGGGAAGGGAACAUGGGAAGGGGACAUGGGAAGGGGACACGGGAAGGGGACACGGGAAGGGGGACACAGGAAGGGGACACGGGAAGGGAACAUGAGAAGGGGACACGGGAAGGAAAUACAGGAAGGGGACAUGGGAAGGGAACACAGGAGGGAACAUGGGAAGGGAACACGGGAAUGAGACACGGAAAGGGGACACAGGAAGAGGACACAGGAGGGGGACACGGGAAGGGCAUACGGGAAGGGAACAUGGGAAGGGGACACAGGAAGGAGAUACAGGAAGGGGACAUGGGAAGGGGACACGGGAGGGAACAUGGGAAGGGGAUACAGGAAGGGAACAUGGGAGGGGGACACGGGAAGGGGACACGGGAAGGGGACACGGGAAGGGGACAUGGGAAGGGGACACGGGAAGGGAACACGAGAAGGGGACAUGGGAAGGGGACACAGGAAGGGGACACGGGAGGGAACAUGGGAAGGGGACAUGGGAAGGGGACAUGGGAAGGGGAUACAGGAGGGGGACACGGGAAGGGAACACGAGAAGGGGUCAUGGGAAGGGGACACGGGAGGGAACAUGGGAAGGGAACAUGGGAAGGGGACACGGGAAGGGGAUACAGGAGGGGGACACAGGAAGAGGACACAGGAGGGGGACACGGGAAGGGCAUAUGGGAAGGAGAUACAGGAAGAGGACACAGGAGGGGGACACGGGAAGGGAACAUGGGAAGGGGACAUGAGAAGGAGAUACAUGAAGGGGACAUGGGAAGGAGAUACAGGAAGGGGACACGGGAAGGGGACACGGGAGGGAACAUGGGA